rnacentral:lncRNA from 1 species
CAAGCUUUCAGGCAUGCUAAAGAGGAGAACACACACAAAAUGUCCGAAAUGUCCUGAGAGCCUUAGACUUUAGACUCAAGCAUUUCCAGGAAAAUGCCCAAGUGCCUCGUGGAUCGGACAGGCAGAUCUGAGUGUAUUUAUUUUGAUAAACCUAAUCCCAGAGAAAUCUGAGCUGAAUUUAAAUUCUCAGUCCCUCAGUAGGGAGAGAUAUGCAGCCUGAAGAUAAACAUGGAAGACAGAACACCCGUGUGGGAGGCUUCCCUGGGUUGGAGGAUAUUAACUCAGGGAAAUCGCGAGCCCUUAUUUGGAUAAACAGUUCCUGCAGGGCAGAAAUGACACGUCUCCCCAUAACUCCUGGCUCACAGUGUACGGUGCUCACCAGACCUGCUCGAUCAGUGCAUUUGCAAGAGUGGAGAGCAGAGACAUGAGGUGAAAUGGGGAGUCCUGACAAAAGCAAUUGACAAAGGCACGGUUUAUAAUAAAUGAGAAUCUUGGAAUUCUACUGCCAAAUUAUGCAGACCUUUCCAGAAAGAAAUAAUGUAGACAGCUGAAGAGGUUCAUCUCCAAGAGAGAAUACAUAACCAUCAUGAGGAGCAUUCCAAUGGCUCUUUCUCAGCUUUCUGGGACCGAGAGGCACCUGUGGAAGUGGCAGGAGAAGCUUUAUAGAGCUGAUUCCAGCUUCCUCAUCUCUGGAUCACUACUCUGUGGUGUGCUCUCUGGCUCAGCGUUUCUAAGUGGGAUCAGAAUUCCUGUGGGGAAAAAAAUCAAUGAAAAUAUUCAUAGUACAGAUGCCAUUCUUUCUGUCGGAACUGCAACCAUGGAAGUGAAAAAGUCUGUAUCAUGUGGGAAGUGACAAUAAUCAUGUUACCCAGAGGUGACUAUUAUAGAAGAGCCAUCAAAGGUAUGUUCAAAUUGUCCCAGGUGUAAAUGUAAAACUUUUCACUGUGC